GUGGAUUUUCCUUUAUUACUACAGAAACCUCUUCCGAUGCUAAAACUACUAGCACGAAUGAAGGAAGCAACAGGACAAGUCGUCCAGUAACACAAAGCCAAACCAAGAGUAUGCCCAGCCACAUCCUUCUCUGUAGUUUGCAGUACUGAAGCCUGUUGUAGUUCAUUCACUGCAGAGAUAGUUUCUGAUGCCUGUGAACAUCAGUGCAACAGUCCAUACAACAUGGAAGAAAUCUGUGCAACCCUAACACAUAACUUACCAGAAAACCAGUAUAUCAGAUGAUGAGGACAGAACCCAAAAUCAUGCCCUGUGCUUCGAGCAAAUGCUCAGGCUUGAGGAGCAGUGGUGGGAGAGAGGCAAUGAAGAUUGGGCAAGGAACUGCGCUUUGUGCAGCGAGUGGAUGCACAGGCUUGAGGAGCAUUGGAGGAAGAGAAAUACGUUGAUUGCUUUUUCUGUUUUAUGAAGUGAAAUGCAUCUGAUUCUUUUUACAAGACUGUAUUUUUCACAUUAACAUGUAUGUUGGUUAGAAUGCAGGAAUACCCAUCAGGCAUCAGUAAGGUAAUUGAAAUUGUCACGCUAUAGCUAUGCUUACAACUGUGAUUGAAAUCCAUACAUGUUGAACUAUCAUGUAAAUUAAACCAUUGUUUCAGCGCAUAUUUUUUGAAUUAUACUCUACAACCUAAAUAACAGUUGAGUUUUGUAUCUGUCACACAAAUUAUGAAGUAAAUGUUUUGCAUACAA